rnacentral:rRNA from 1 species
CACGUAGGGCGCAAGCGUUGUCCGGAAUUAUUGGGCGUAAAGAGCUCGUAGGCGGUCUGUUGCGUCCGCUGUGAAAACUCGGGGCUUAACCCCGAGCCUGCAGUGGAUACGGGCAGACUAGAGGUAGGUAGGGGAGAAUGGAAUUCCCGGUGUAGCGGUGAAAUGCGCAGAUAUCAGGAGGAACACCGGUGGCGAAGGCGGAUCUCUGGGCAUUACCUGACGCUGAGGCGCGAAAGCUAGGGGAGCAAACAGG